rnacentral:rRNA from 1 species
UACGGGGGGGGCAAGCGUUGUUCGGAAUUACUGGGCGUAAAGGGCUCGUAGGCGGCCAACUAAGUCGGACGUGAAAUCCCCAGGCUCAACCUGGGAACUGCGUCCGAUACUGGAUGGCUUGAAUCCGGGAGAGGGAUGCAGAAUUCCAGGUGUAGUGGUGAAAUGCGUAGAUAUCGGGAGGAACACCAGUGGCGAAGGCGGCUACCUGGCCCAUUCUUGACGCUGAGGCGCGAAAGCUAGGGGAGCGAACGGG